rnacentral:rRNA from 1 species
GAUGAACGCUAGCGGCAUGCUUUACACAUGCAAGUCGAACGGCAGCGGGGGCUUCGGCCCGCCGGCGAGUGGCGAACGGGUGAGUAAUGCAUCGGAACGUGCCCAGUCGUGGGGGAUAACACAUCGAAAGAUGUGCUAAUACCGCAUACGUCCUGAGGGAGAAAGCGGGGGAUCUUCGGACCUCGCGCGAUUGGAGCGGCCGAUGUCGGAUUAGCUAGUUGGUGAGGUAACGGCCCACCAAGGCGACGAUGCGUAGCUGAGCUGAGAGGCUAAACAGCCACACUGGGACUGAGACACGGCCCAGACUCCUACGGGAGGCAGCAGUAGGGAAUUUUCGGCAAUGGGGGAAACCCUGACCGAGCAAUGCCGCGUGAACGAUGAAGGUCUUCGGAUUGUAAAGUUCUGUGAUUGGGGAAGAAUGGUAUUCUUAGGGAAUGAGGAGUACAUGACGGUACCCGAUUAGAAAGCCCCGGCUAACUAUGUGCCAGCAG